AAAAAUUUCAUUUUUAAAGAAUUAUUAUUUUUUUUUUAAACAGAAUUUAUUAUUUUAUUGUAAAAAAUUAAUAUUAUAAACAUAUUUUGAAUAUUUGAAUAAUUUUGUAAAUGUAAAGAAAUAUUUUUUAUUUUUCUCGCCAAAAUCAAUGUUGAUUGAUGAGUUUUUAAAUUUUUUCAUAACGCUACUGUAAUUAAUUAAUUAUUGAUUUGAAGUGGGUGCUAAAUAUGGAAGUAAUCCAUUAGAAACUAAUAAUCGAGGGGUGUUGAAACUUCAAACCAUAAAGAGAACACAAUGCUGUAAUACAUUAAGCGCAGGUAGAAAAUAAUAAAAUCUCUUAAAGGGAUUUUUUGUUUUAUUAAAUUUUACCCAGAAUUUCUGCUCCAAUUAAGAGUCGUUCGCAUUGUUAUACAAAUUGGACAGUGCUUCAUAAAUUUUAACAACUGAGGGGAAGUACGCAACAUAACGGGUCUUUAAGUGCUUAUAGAAUUCGAAACAAUAAAGGGACGACCAGUUGAUCCAUCCCUUAUUUUGUCGCAGCUCUUCAAUAUUUUAGCACGCUCUUCUUGAAUUGCAAGACGAGAUUUCCUCUCACAGGGCUUUUGAUAUAGAAAGCACAAGUGUAAGUUUACUUGGAUAGAAAUAAGAAUGAAAGGAGAUAUAUACACUUCCAAGGAGGAGAAUAAAAAGCAAAAGUAUCAGAGGGAAGAAGAAGCAACGAAGCGUUAUAUGAACUAGAAAUAAAGGAAGUGAAAGAGGUCGAUGACAAGAUGAACAAAAUGGAUCAUUAAUUUUUUUAUUAAAUUUAUUAUCAUUUUUAACUAACGACAAUUUUAUUUCCUACAUCUGAAGAUUCAUUUUAUUUGUUGAGAAAACUCAACUUCUCACAAUUUUUUCAAAGAAAGUGUAAAGUUCUUUUUCUUCUAUUGAAAUCAUUUUAUAAUUAUUUUCCGGUAAGAAAGCUGUAAAAGUUUUUAUAUGCCAUACAAAAAGGUA